UAAUAAUAGUAAUAAUAAUAUAUUGCAAUAUGAUACACUUAUAAAGAAAACUACCAUUUUAGAAAACUAUAAAAAUGGUUAUAUAAAUAAAAAUAACUUCAUUCCAAACGGAGAGGCUAAUAAGCAUACAGUUUUUAGUGACACUUUUACUGGCAAGGUCCACACCAAUAGCACUACUAUAUACAAAAAAAACAAAAAUAUUAAAAAUAGCGCAUAUUAUACAAAAUUAAAUAACAAUGAUUUGUUACAAAGAAAAGAUAAACAAAAAUAUAAAUCACAAAAUAAAAUAAAUGAAAAGAGAAUAUUAGAACAAGUUUUACCAAUAAAAAAAAAUGAUAUACUCAGUAGUGAAGCUGAUAUUGAGAAUUAUGAUAAAAAGGAGUACUCCAUAUUGGGUGUUACUAGUAGUGGUGUCACAUGCUUGAACAAACGUAAUGAUAUGCGGUUGAGCAUGCAUAGUAAUACACAUAUGGAUGACAUAUAUGCACCAGAUAGUAACAAUUAUAGUCACACUAAAAAAUGCAAACAAAAUGUUAUGUAUAAUACUAGACCGAGUAAGCCAAACAAAAGUGUUAACACAUUUUUUGAAAUUACCAAACCAGUCAGAAGUAACAAUCAAUCAAUUUUAAACAAAAACAAUAUCGGAAAAUCAUUUGAAGGGUAUGUACAAUGUGUGAAAACAGAUGCUAUAUACAUUAAAAUAGUUGGUAUAAAUGGGUAUGGUGUACUCUAUAAAAACAAAGCUAACUUGGGUAAUGACAUAAAAGAUAUAAAUGAUUAUUUUAAAUUAAACCAAAAAGUAUGGGUCAAAAUAUUAGGUAUUAAUAUCAAAAAAAAAUAUUAUUAUGUUGGUAAUAUUAUUAAAUAUAAUAAAGAUAUAAUAUUAGAGAACGGUGAACAUUCAAAAGGAUUAGUAACAAAAGUAUGUGAUUCUUAUUGUUUUAUAAAAAUUUUAAAAAAUGGUAGUGUAGGGUAUUUACAUAGGUCUACAUUGCAAUUGUUUGGUUGUGUUAGUGACUCAAAUAGUGUUAUACCACUUGUGUCUGAGUCGAAAAACAAAGGUACCACUUAUACAAUAGUCGAUGGUGGUGAUGGUAGUGAUGGUAGUGAUGGUGGUGACAGUGGUGAUGGUGGUGAUGGUAGUGAUGGUAGUGAUGGUAGUGAUGGUGGUGAUGGUAGUGAUGGUGGUGAUGAUAAAAGGAUUCAAAUCGAACGCGAUAAAGUUAUAUUUUAUGAGAACACAACAAACAUGGUAGCAAAUAGUAAUAGAACAAAAAAUAUUAUUUUUACGAAAAUUUUUAAAAUUUGGGAUAUCAUAGAUGUACAAGUAGUUAAACGGUCAGACAACCAAUUCAAGUCUCAUUACAUUUUAACUAUACCUUACGAUACCAAAAGUUAUAAGCAG
rnacentral:lncRNA from 1 species